AGUAAACUGAGAUCAUGCCAUUGUACUCUAACCUGGGCAAUAACGCAAAACUCCAAUCUCAAAAAAAAAAAGAAAAAAACCUCUGUAUGCAUUGUCUCAUUUAACCCUUACAAUGACCUACAAGUUUGCCAUCAUCAUUAUCCCCAUUUUACAGAUGAGAAACUGAAACCCAGGGGUCACACAGUAAGUGUUGAGGUUGGAACUUGGACCCAGCUUGUCUGGCUGAGAAGCUUGUGCCUGGAGUUAUGACGCUGGCUUUGAAGAUGGAAGAGGGGACCAUCAGCCAAGGAAUGCAGCCCAAGAAGCUGGAAAAGUUACGAAAACCAAUUUUCCCCUAGAGGCUCCAGAAGGAAUGCAGCCCUGCUUACACCUUGGUUUUAGCCUCCAUAAGACCCAUUUUGGACUUCUGAUUUCCAGAACUGUAAGACAAUAAAAAUCAUCUUGUUUUAAGCCACAAAUUUGUGGUAAUUUGUGCAACUGAUACAGAUAUUAUUGCCAAAAAUAUAGAAAACUGACUCCGGUUUUCACGUAGCGUGGACUGAAUAAUUAACAUACAAAUCCACAUUCCCAUUCACUCUGCCUCUGGCUUGGUGUACUUGGGGGAGCAAAUGCACAGUGGUGUGUAUGUGGCUUCUUGUCUUGAAGAAUGAGAGCACCUGUAGCCACCUAGACCCACACAAACCACUUCUGGUGUUAUUUUCACAAGUAAGCAUGUUUGAUUUGUUCCUUCAACAAACAUUUACUGAGUA